GAAACUCCCGUCGAAGAAGAACCAAACAAAGCAGAAGCUGCAAGGUGAAGGUGAAGAAGAGCUCCAAUUUAGCGAGGCUUCCAGUGUGUCAUUAGUUUACUUGCUGGAAAUGAAAAUGUUGAGAGAGUUGGUGAGGAAGAGACUAAUGGCGGCAGCCGAUGAAAUAUUCCAGCUGUUUGAGAGAACGAUAGCGUCUUACGAGGAGGAACUUUCUCGAGCAAGAGAGGCGCAGGAGCGACAACGCAAACACGUUAAUAUGCUGCGUGUCGAUGCAUGUUUUUGGAUGGGGAAAUUGUGAUGUAUAUCUUACCGGAGACAUCAUUGGAUUAUUCAUCGUCCUGCAGCAGCGGCAGCUGUGAGCUUGGCUCCUCGGCUUCUCUCUGAGACACUUCGUGUUCACCGCAACCAUCCAAACUCAAGUAGUGCAUUCUUCACUCAAGCUUUAAAUAAGUAAGUAAACAGGUGAGGAGAGCAGUGAGCAGCAGCGGUGGCCACGCUCGGGAAUCAUUUUGGUGAUUUAACCCCCAAUUCCAACUCUUGAUGCUGAGUGCCAAGCAGGAGACAUCCAGCAGCUGAUUAGUCAUCAAGAAGAGCGUCCCCCUCGGCCGCAAAAUGGGGGCUCUACUUUGAAGCAGGAGGAUCCGCAGCCCCCCUAUGUUAAAGAGGAAGGGGAAGAACUUUGGAUCACUCAGGAGGGAGAUGGUCUAUUCGGGUCGGAUGUCACCGAUCUCACCAAGCUGCCGCUGACUGUUGUCUGUGUGAAGAUUGAGGACCAUGAAGAAAAACCAGCUGAGUCGUCACAGCGUCAUUACAGCCCGGGUGAGGAGAGCAGAGGGGCGGAGUUUCCACAAAACUGCUCACUACAAAACAUGACAACAGAAGCUGACAAAGAUCAGUGUGGCGCAUUGCGGUUCACGCCAAAAUCAGAUAGUGACGACGCAGCAUCAUUAUCAGACAGGGACAAUACCCCAGAGUCUUUGAGCAGCAAUACAGACUGUGAGGGUGAUAUAAGUACUCACAGAAUCAAACACUCUAAGAAAAAGUCAAGUAAAAAAACUUUCACCUGCUCAGUUUGCGCUAAAAGCUUUUCCGAUAAAAGGGAUUUUGCUCGACACACAAGAACACACACUGGGGAAAAACCUUUCUGUUGUUCAAUUUGUGGGCAGAGGUUCUCGGAGAAGUCAAACAUGGGCAAACACAUGAGAACCCACACAGGGGAGAAACCUUUUAGUUGUUCCAUUUGCGGGCAAAGAUUUGCGGAGAAGUCAAAUAUUAUACCACACAUGAGAAGGCACACUGGAGAAAGACCUUUCACUUGCUCAGUGUGCGGCCAAAGGUUCUCGGAGAAGUCAAACAUGGUCAAACACAUGAGAAGACACACAGGAGAAAUGCCUUACUCCUGUUCAAUUUGCGUGAAAAAAUUUAGUCAGCACAACGGUUUGACGGCACACAUGCGCACGCACACAGGAGAGAAACCGUUUGGUUGUUCAGUGUGCGGCGAAAGAUUCUCUCAAAAGUCAAACAUGGAGUCCCACAUGAGAACGCACACGGGAGAAAGACCGUAUUCUUGCUGGUUUUGUCCGAAAACAUUCGCUCAGCAUAGCAAUUUGAUGGUUCACACACAAAUACACAGCAGGAAAUAAAAGGUUUUCAAUCAAUGUUUAUUUAUAUAGCCCUAAAUCACAAAUGUCUCAAAGGACUGUACAAACCACUACGACUACGACAUCCUCGGAAGAACCCACAUAAGGGCAAGGAGAAUUCGCACCCACUGGGACGCCAGUGACAAUUAUGAGUAUGAGAACCUUGGAGAGGACCUCAUAUGUGGGCAACCACCCCCACCCUCUAGGGGACCGAAGGCAAUGGAUGUCGAGCGGGUCUAAAAUGAUACUGUGAAAGUUCAAUCCAUAGUGGCUCCAACACAGCCGCGAGAGUUCAGUUCAAAGCAGAUUUUCUACAUAGUCUUUCCAUCCAUCCAUUUCCUACCGCUUAUUCCCUUUUGUCAAGCGUAAUUUCACUUGCAAAGAGUCACCUUGAAUGUGAUAAUCUGUAUGAUACCUUAUUCCCACUUUGAACCAUACAGUUGUACGUCUAUGAUCAUAAAAUUGUGUCAAAUGUCUAUACAAGUACAACCCAUUUAUUCAUUUAGUGUAACAAAACUCAACUGCACGCAUUCUUUAAAAUAAAGACAAUUUUGAUCGUGACUGUCUUGCAGCUCUUCUUCAAAGUGGGCAAAAAUCAUUUGUCCAGACCCCUGAUGUCUUUGCCAAUAAGUAUUCUUCCGCUUAGACCUCCAUUUAGAUUGUACAUUGGAGUAUGUAGAUUUUGCAGUUGUUGCUCUAAGUUCCCUGGAUUUCCCACUGCUUUUUUGGGCAUGUCGUUAUAUUUUGUUAGGUGUUCAUUUAUGUACACAUGUGUGCCUUCAGCUUCUUUGCUGUUUCAGCAGUGCCAUUUUGGAUUGCCUGUUGGUAAACUUCACAAUGAUGACUGGAGUGAUCUUGUUGUUUCUUCCUUCCAGUUGAAUACACAUAUCGAUGGUGUUGAUAUCAACAUCAACUUCCUUUGAGUGCUGAAGUUGACGUGUUGAGGCAACAUCCAAUUCAUCUGGUUUUCUACUGUCGACUGCUCUGACAUAGGAUCUGGGAGUCAUGCGUAACCAAGUCACGAUCACACAUUCAUUCCCUUAUUAUGGUCCAUCUUAUAUACGAUAUUCUUCGGAUCCAUCUUGUCUUGUUGCAGGACCUUCAUUUCUUGACGCAUUGCUGUAUUUUCCUCUUGAAGGACCUUAGACUUAGACAAACUUUAAUGAUCCACAAGGGAAAUUGUUCAAUUCUUCCUUCAUCUAUAGUCGCAUUGCUUUGUGUAAAUCUAAGACUAUUUAUUUCCUUUUAGAAAUGUUUCAUUUCCUCACCAAGCUCCCUUUUAAAGAUUUCAUUCGGUAUUUUAGACUUUUGCGGUUUCAUUGUAGACUAUUUGAUUGAAAGUUGUCUCUUUCUUGCCUAAUUAUAUUUAUUGUUAUUCAACAUUAUAUUGUUUUCCAUAAUCAUUCUCAUAUCAUAUACUAGCUGUUAAUAUGCUAACGUAAGCAUGCUAACUUUUUUUGCAAAUGUUCUAGCCAUACAGAGUCAAAACUCGACACUUGAUACAUCAUACAUGUUAACUUUUUCUGCUUGCAAAUUUUACAGCCGUUAACUUAAAUAUCAUAUAACUUGGUACUUGACACAUGCUAGCUGUUAGCAUGCUAGCAUACUAACAUUAGCAUGCUAACUUUUUUAGCUAAUUUUGCAGUCAGUCACUUGCCCUGCCCUCGUCAAGGGAUAACAAAUAUUUCAGGAGUACAUAAUCUCACACGACACUUACCAACAUUUCACUUGUUUUAACAAAUCUGUGCCUCAUGUUGGAACAAAAUUCAGUUCAAAAAUGUUUUGCUAACUACUUUGCAACUAAAAUUACUCAGAACUCCAGUAGCGAUAGCGGAGCUUUUUUCUUUGCUUCUUUUUCCGUUGACAGGAAGUGACGUAGAAUGCCAUGUGGGCAUAUAUCAUGUACCGUAUUUGCAAAUUCAUGCCAAAAACUCACUACUGUUACUUCUUUCAGCAAGGGGUGCAAAAAAGAAAAAUUGUAUGUGUGUAUAUAUAUAUAUAUAUAUAGGCCCUGUGAUGAGGUGGCGACUUGUCCAGGGUGUACCCCGCCUUCCGCCCGAUUGUAGCUGAGAUAGGCGCCAGUGCCCCCCGCGGCCCCGAAAGGGAAUAAGCGGUAGAAAAUGGAUGGAUGGAUGGAUAUAUAUACACUGUACACACACAAAUAUACAUAUACAAACCCCAUUCCAUAUGAGUUGGGAAAUUGUGUUGCAUGUAAAUAUAAACAGAAUACAAUGAUUUGCAAAUCAUUUUCAACCCAUAUUCAAUUGCAUGCACUACAAAGACAAGAUAUAUGAUGUUCAAACUCAUAAACUUUAUUUUUUUUUUGCAAAUAAUAAUUAACUUAGAAUUUUAUGGCUGCAACACGUGCCAAAGUAGUUGGGAAAGGGCGUGUUCACCACUGUGUUACAUCACCUUUUCACUUAACAACACUCAAUAAACGUUUGGGAACUGAGGAAACUAAUUGUUGAAGCUUUGAAAGUGGAAUUAUUUCCCAUUUUGUUUCAUGUAGAGCUUCAGUCGUUCAACAGUCCGUGAUCUCCGCUGUCGUAUUUUACGCUUCAUAAUGUGCCACACAGUUUUGAUGGGAGACAGGUCUGGACUGCAGGCGGGCCAGGAAAGUACCCGCACUCUUUUUUUACGAAGCCACGCUGUUGUAACACAUGCUGAAUGUGGCUUGGCAUUGUCUUGCUGAAAUAAGCAGGGGCGUCCGUGAAAAAGAUGGUGCUUACAUGGCAGCAUAUGUUGUUCCAAAACCUGUAUGUACCUUUCAGCACUAAUAGUGCCCUCACAGAUAUGUAAGUUACCCAUGCUUUGGCCAUUAAUGCACCCCCAUACCAUCACAGAUGCUGCCUUUUGAACUUUGCGUCGAUAACAGUCUGGAUGGUUCGCUUCCCCUUUGGUCCGGAUGACACGAUGUCGAACAUUUCCAAAAACAAUUUGAAAUGUGGACUCGUCAGACCACAGAACACUUUUCCACUUUGCAUCAGUCCAUCUUAGAUGAUCUCAGGCCCAGAGAAGCUGGUGGUGUUUCUGGAUGUUGUUGAUAGAUGGCUUUCACUUUGCAUAGCUUUGACAUACUGUAUUUACUGAAAGUAGUUUUCUGAAGUGUUCCUGAGCCCAUGUGGUGAUAUCCUUUAGAGAUUGAUGUCGGUUUUUGAUACAGUGCCGUCCGAGGGAUCGAAAGUCACGGUCAUUCAAUGUUGGUUUCCGGCCAUGCCGCUUACGUGGAGUGUUUUCUCCAGAUUCUCUGAACCUUUUGAUGAUAUUAUGGACCGUAGAUGUUGAAAUCUCUAAAUUUCUUGCAAUUGCAUUUUGAGAAACGUUGUUCUUAAACUGUUUGACUAUUCGCUUACCUCGCCCCAUCCUUUCUUGUGAAAGACUAAUCAUUUUUUGGGAAGCUGUUUUCAUACCCAAUCAUGGCACCCACCUGUUCCCAAUUAGCCUGCACACGUGUGGGAUGUUCCAAAUAAGUGUUUAAUGAGCAUUCAUCAACUUUAUCAGUAUUUAUUGCCACCUUUCCCAACUUAUUUAUCACGUGUUGCUGGCAUCAAAUUCUAAAGUUAAUGAUUAUUUGCACACAAAAAAAAUGUUUAUCAGUUUGAACAUCAAAUAUGUUGUUUUUGUAGUAUAUUCAAUUGAAUAUGGGUUGAAAAUGAUUUGGAAAUCAUUGUAUUCCGUUUAUAUUUACAUCUAACACAAAUUCCCAACUCAUAUGGAAACAGGGUUUGUAUAUAUAUAUAUAUAUAUAUAUAUAUAUAUAUAUAUAUAUAUAUAUAUGUACAGCCCUUACCUCUGGGCCGAUGCUGAGGGCGACUGUGUUGACCAGUUUGACGCGUGUUUGAUUGAUUGAUUGAUUGAUACUUUUAUUAGUAGAUUGCACAGUACAGUACAUAUUCCGUACAAUUGACCACUAAAUGGUAACACCCGAAUAAGUUUUUCAACUGUAAAUGAUAGAAUGUCCAGUACUGUAGAAUUGUGAUUCGAUAUGACAAUCCGUGUAUUUUAUGCUAUCCAAAUUAAAUCAAAGGAAGGUUAUAUAUAACAAAAGGUAUGGCACAUUAUUACUGCAUUGUCACAACAAGUCACGGCACGGUCGAAAACUGUUUGUCCUCCAUCCGCCAUGCCCAUGCUCACACCUGAACCCAAUUUAAGUAGGCUACCAUGGUAACCGCACCAUAGCAACAGUCCCAUUCCUGUCAACACUUCCUGGCUCUUAACAGGAAGUGGGCGGAGCAAUCCGCCGAAAAGGAAAUUUCACAUGCGUUGAGGUCAGCAAUCAAUUAGAGAAAAUAAAAAUAAAAACACUACAAACAACUAAGGACAUUUGGCUCCAAAACUCCGGCCCCCAAUUGAGAAGGGCAGGAUGCCAUGAACAAUUCAAAAUAAUAAUAAUAAUAAUAAUAAUGGAGCCACAAAUAUAAACAAAUAAUCGUUUUCGAGUGUUUUUUUGUUUUUGUUUUUUACACUUCAGCUUCUUGCAGCAAGCACAUUUUUGUAACUGGUCUGUCCAGUGUACUUGUUUUAGUUUUGAGUUUAGCAGAACGCACAAAUCCUUUUUUAUCUGGAUAAGUGUCCACCACUCUUCCAAAUAACCAAGACUUACGUGGAGCGGUAUCGUCUGCGAUUAGUAUAAUGUCAUUUGGGACUAGAUUUCUUCUCUGUUUGCUCCACCUCUGCCGCUCCUGUAGCAAAGGUAAGUCUUACCCAGCGUUUCCAGAAUAGGUCAGAGAUGUAUUGGACUUGUCUCCAUCUUCGUUUGAGACAGAGGUCUGAUUUUUCAAAAAAUCCAAGUGGUUAAAUUGGCAUUCCUUUCAUGGUCAGAAUGUAAUUGGGAGUGAGGGCUUCUAGAUAAUUGGGAUCCCCAGACAACCUUGUUAUGGGGCGGUCAUUCAGGAUCGCUUCGACAUCACACAGCACCGUUGGAAAUCCUUCGUCAUUCAGAGUUUGCUGUCGUAGGACUGAUGUCAAUGUUCGGCGGAUUAUUCUGAUCAAGCGCUCCCAUGCACCUCCAUGGUGAGAGGCUGUUGGUGGGUUGAAGCUCCACCGUGUUCCUUCCUCCAGAAAUGCUGACUGUACUUUUGCUUUGAUUUAGAGCAACGAGUGCUUCUCUCAACUCCCUUUCAGCACCAACAAAAUUGGUUCCAUUGUCGGACCUUAAAUGAAAGACAGGUCCUCUUCUACAAAUGAACCUGCGUAUAGCAUUUAUACAAAAAUCUGUAUCCAAUGAGUAGGCAACCUUAAAAUGGACUGCUCUUCAUGCCAUACAGGUAAAGAUAACCCCAUAUCGCUUUUCCAAUGAACGACCUCUCUUGACCUCUACCUGGCCGAAAUAAUCAACACCGACAUUGGUAAAUGGAGGUAGGUCGGCAGCGAUCCUCUCUUCAGAUAGGUCUGACAUCUUCUGUUCGCCUAAUUGGCCUCUAUGGCGUUUACAGAAGACACAGUUUGCAAUGAUUUUUCUGGUGGCUGCAUUAGCACUUGUGAUCCAAUAUUUCCUUCUUAGCCUGGAUAGUACAUGGUUUCUCCCGCCAUGGCCCAGUUGUUCAUGAAAGUGUUUAACUGGCCUCUGGUGAAGUCUGAAGAUGUGAGAGCUCUGCAAGCCUACUCUCUUUAUCUUUGAGAAUGUUGCACUGCCAUGGAAAACGUGCAGUACAUGCAGGAACUAAAUAUGCCAGCUAACAUGAAAACUGUGAUCUUCAAGCUACCGUACAGGCUGCGAGAAAGCUGGAGAGUCUCUGCAUGCAAUAUCUUAGAAAACCACCAUUGCAGACCUCAGUUCUCAAACAUUGUAGCAUUCAUUUAGCGACAGGUGAAAAUUGUCUCUGACCAAGUCUUUGGAGACAUCCAGAAUACACCACAGAGUACAGGAAGUAAACCUGUGACAGGAAUAAAAUCACAAGGUAAACCCAAAUUCCAAGGUAGCAGUUUUGCCUCUACCAUUAAUAUUAAUACCCCUGAAGCAGAAAAGCAAACCAGAUUCAAACCUGCUCCAAAACAAAGUGCAUCUGCUCAUACCACAAACGCAUGUGUUUGCCGCUCCAAAAAUAACGCUCUUGACCAGUGUCGUCAGUUGGAGGAGAAGACCCACAGGGAGAAAAUAACUUUUAUAAGACAGAAAGGAAUCUGUUUUGGGUGUCUUCAUGUUGGACAUUUUAGCAGGCAUUGUGACAAGGGCUUGACCUGCAAGGUAUGCAGCUAAACCACCCGAGUCUGCUUCAUAUUUGUCAGAAGGAAAGAACAAGCAACAUAAAUGCAAACCAAAAUAAGGCAACGGAAAUAUCUGUGAGUAAUGCACAAAUAAAAAUGAAAAUGGAACUCUGUCAAUUCUGCCUGUACAGAUAAAGUCCAGCAAAGGACACACGGUCAUACAAACCUAUGCAUUCCUGGAUCCGGGCAGCAAAUAUACAUUUUCAAAGAUACAUUACACUUUCACAGUAUCAUGUUAGACCCGCUCGACAUCCAUUGCUUUCCUCCUCUCCAAGGUUCUCAUAGUCAUCAUUGUCACCGACGUCCCACUGGGUCAUUAUUGUCACAGAUUUCCCACUGGGUGUGAGUUUUCCUUGCCCUUAUGUGGGCCUACCGAGGAUGUCGUAGUGGUUUGUGCAGCCCUUUGAGACACUAGUGAUUUAGGGCUAUAUAAGUAAACAUUGAUUGAUUGAUUGAUUGAUUUGUUCUGAAAGCUUGAUGACAAAGCUCAACUUGAAUGGGAAAAAAACUAAAAUCAAUCUCCUAACCAUGGGCCCCAAAACAUCAGUUUCCAGUUACAUGCUGACGGACUUAGAGAUCUCAAGCCUCACUGGGCAUCAGUUCUACAACCUUCCCAAGGUCUACACCCAAAAAAGGAUGCCCGUAACGACAAGCAACCUCAUCAAUCAAGAGGGGUUGGCUAAAUGGCCAUUCUUGGAUGGCAUCACUCUUCCUCGUUUUGAAGCCGAUGUAGAGCUAUUGAUUGGGACCAAUGCAUCUAAACUGCUUAAACCCUGGGAAGUAGUCAACAGUUGUGGAAAUGGACCGUAUGCUGUUAAGACCUUAUUGGGGUGGGUCAUUAAUGGCCUUCCUGACUACAGUGAGAAGAGGAGUAAGAUUGGCUGCUCCACUACUACUGUCAACAGGAUCUCCAUAACAAAGCUGGAGGAGCUACUUCACAAUCAUCAUAACCAUGAUUUUAACGACAGGUCAUCAGAAGACAAAGAAGAAAUGUCUAGAGAUGACAUGAAGUUCAUGAAGGACAUGACUGAUUCGUGCAAGCUUCAAGAUGAACACUACAAUUUGAACUGCCCUUUAAAAGGAAGGAUGAUGUGUCGCUUCCCAACAAUCAGGGUGUUGCUAGGCAAUGCAUACUUGGUCUAUAAAGGAGGUUUGGGAAAGAUAAAAGAUAUCACAGAGAAUAUACAACCUUUCUCAAUGAUGUAAUCGGUAAAAGUUAUGCAGAACGUGUACCUGAAGAGCUAGUAGACUGUUCAGAUGGGAAGGUGUGGUACAUUCCACACCAUAGGGUGUACCACCCCAAAAAAGGAACUCUGCGUGUGGUAUUUGAUUGUGGCGCAGAGUACAGAGGAAAAUCUCUCAACAAGGAGCUUCUCCAAGGCCCGUAUCUCACCAGCAGCUUGUUAGGAGUCCUCACCAGAUUCCGACAAGAACCUGUAGCCUUGAUGACCGACGUUAAGCCCUACUGAAAUUAGAUGUUCUUAUUUAAACGGGGAUAGCAGGUCCAUUCUAUGUGUCAUACUUGAUCAUUUCGCGAUAUUGCCAUAUUUUUGCUGACAGGAUUUAGUAGAGAACAGCCUUGCCUGUACCGGAAGUAGCAGACGAUGUGCGCGUGACGUCACGGCUUGUGGAGCUCCUCACAUCCUCACAUUGUUUACAAUCAUAGCCACCUGCAGCGAGAGCGAUUCGGACCGAGAAAGCGACAAUUUCCCCAUUAAUUUGAGCGAGGAUGAAAGAUUUGUGGAGGAUAGUGAGAGUGAAGGACUAGAAAAAAAAAAAGGAGAUGGUAGUGGGAGCGAUUCAGAUGUUAUUAGACACAAUUACUAGGAUAAUUCUGGAAAAUCCUAUAUCUGCUUAUUGUGUUACUAGUGUUUUAGUGAGAUUAUAUGGUAUCUGAAAGUCGGAGGGGUGUGACCGCCAGUGUCCCCGGUGGAAGGAGGUAAGAGAGUCCGCAGCUGCAGGAGGACGCAAGCUCCGCUCAUGUCUACGGUAAAAGCCGACUUAUUGCAACAAUUGUCUCACCGAAACCUGCCGGUUGACAUGUGGUCGGGAACCAUGUUCGCUUGACCGCUCUGUUCCAUAGUAAAGCUUCACCUUCGGGAAUGUAAACAAGGAAACACCGGCUGUGUUUGUGUGGCUAAAGGCAGCUGCAAUACACCGCUUCCCACCUACAUCUUUCUUCUUUGACUUCUCCAUUAUUAAUUGAACAAAUUGCAAAAGAUUCAGCAACACAGCUGUCCAGAAUACUGUGUAGUUAUGCGAUUAAAGCAGACUCCUUAUAGCUUGGAUCGGACUGGAAAAAAAUUUCCGCUACAAUCCGAGACGUCACGCGCACGCGUCAUCAUACGCGUCAUCAUACGCGUCAUCAUACCGACGUUUUCAACAGGAUACUUCAGGCGAAAUUUAAAAUUGUAAUUUAGUAAACAAAAAAGGCCGUAUUGACAUGUGUUGCAAUGUUAAGAUUUUAUCAUUGAUAUAUAAACUAUCAGACUGUGUGGUUGGUAGUAGUGGGAUUCAGUAGGCCUUUAAAGCAAUGUUUCAUCUAGUCAAUAAAAAAGUGAAGGUUCUUA